GUCAUGUUUGGGAGCAUUUUGCAUUUAUAUUCAUUGUUCCCUGCUAUCAAGACAUUCAUUUUUGUUAAAUUUCAAAGUCAAAGAAACGGGUUGGUGCCAAGGCUGUCAUUGGUGCUGGGACACUGUAUCUUGUAAUUCAAGAUGGCUUUUGGAAAAGUGAUCAACAGUCUAAGACUUUCCAAGUGCUAAAUAAAUCCUUAACUCCCAAGAUUGAAAGGUUAAAUGAACAGAUUGCAUCCAAGGAAAAUAUUUUAAAAUGGUGGAAUUCAGGUAUUCAAGGAUGUUUUCAGACAAUAUCUUCUACUCUUGAAAGACUACAGAGAAAAGAUGCGAAGAAUCCUAAAAGUUGAUGCUUUGCUACUGUCCACAGAAAUAAAACAUUACUAGUAGUAAGACUACUUUUUUUUGGACAGGCAAAUAAUGCUGAAAUUGUGAGCUAUCAUGUUCACAGUUGUUGUUGAAAAUACUUAUUCUUUGACAGAGAAAGAAUAAUUAUUGCCCUUUCUUAAGAACAUUUGUAAUGCAAUUGGACAUCAGCAUGGGUAUAUUGAAAGUGUUUGUUGUUUAAAGCUGAAAUGCUUAAAAACUAUUGUUGGGUUUUCUUAAGAUUUGAUAUAAAAUUUGUGUCACUUAAAUAUUAAGAUUUGAAUGUUUCCACAUGAUUCUUCUGAAUGAAUUUUAUGAGCCGAUGACUUUCCUCCACAUUAAAGCAGUUUGUACCUUGGUGCUGAACCUCGAAUAAAAACAUUUUUUU
rnacentral:misc_RNA from 1 species